rnacentral:tRNA from 1 species
AUUUUAAUAGCUUAUGAUUAGAGUGUAAUAUUGAAGAUAUUAAGGUGAUUUAUAUAAUCUUAAAAUA